CCAACCAGAAGGAUUGCUAAAAUCAGCAUCAGGACUGCUAUGUGGAAUUCAUGUUGUUUUACCAUCCAACAUAAGUUAUUGGUAGCACAGUUUAACACCUGUUGUAGGUUACAAGUAAUGAAUACUGCUGGGAGAAACUUGCGGAAGGUUUAUAUCACUAGGCGAAUUCCUCCAGAUGGUCUGAAGGCCAUUCAGCAGGCUGGAAGCUACGAGAUAGAGCAGUAGGAUUCUGAUGAUCCAGUUCCACGUUCUGAACUUCUCAAAAAAAGUCUCUGGAAUACAUGCCUUGUAUUGUCUUUUAACAGAGAAGAUAGAUAAGGAAGUGCUGGAUUCUGCAGGUCCUAGCCUUAAGGUGGUUAGCACUAUGUCUGUUGGAUAUGAUCACUGGAAGAACUUAAAAACAGAAGCAGCCUGACAAUGCCACUAACUUUUAAUAGUGGUUGGGGUACAUGGAAACCUCUGUGGAUGUGUGGGAAUGGCCUCAAAGGAAGCACUGUUGGAAUCCUAGGCCUAGGCAGAAUUGUUACCUUGGAAGAGUUAGCAAAGCAGUCUGACUUUCUUGUUGUGUGCUGUGCUCUAAUUCCUGAAACUCAAGGCAUAUGCAACAAACAACUGUUCUCCAAAAUGAAAGGAAGUGCUGUGUUUAUAAAUACUAGCAGGGGUGCUGUAGUAAAUCAGGAAGAUCUUUAUCAUGCCUUUGUGAAUGGACAGAUAGCAUCCGCUGGUUUAGAUGUCACGGUCCCAGAGCCACUUCCUACUAAUCAUCCACUAUUCAAACUAAAAAACUGUGUCAUUCUUCCCCACAUCGCCAGUGCAACUGUGGAAACCUGGAAUGCCAUGGCUGCCCUUGCAGCCCAUAAUUUAUUGGCUGGCCUGAAAGGGGAGGCGAUGCCAACGUAACUGAAACUUUAAUCAAGCAAAAAAGAAGGCAGCAAUAAGCAUGAUUGUCACGGAGUUCCAAAACAAAGUAAACAAAUUAUUUUCUAACACAUGUAAUAAAAGAAUGACUUAUUUAUUCUCCUACUCUAGAAAAUGUCACUGUUUCACACACACACACACACACACACACACACUGUGUUUCCAAGUGUUUCAUGCAGGUGUGGUUUAGUUAAUGAAGACCCUUACAUUUGUUUGUCAACAAGUCUGCUUGAAAAUUGUAUCUUCCGUGGGGGUAACAGCAUAAAUGUCAUGAUGUAUGUACCUGGUCAGAUAACUCACAACAACCAUUUUGAUGAUUAAUUUGGAAAAGGUAACCAGUACUACUUCUGAUAAGUUGCUAUUGCAACUUUUAUCAUAUUACAUCUAUAACUUACUUUUAGGGGCACAUUUACUAUUGGUCGAAGUAAAAUCCUUUGACUUUGAAUAUCAAGUCGAAGGAUUUACUGCAUUUCCUGCGAUCGAACGUUCGAAGGAAAAAACUUUCAAUCAAACGAUUAAAUCCCUCCAAUCGAACGAUUCGAAGGAUUUUAAUCCAUCGAUCAAGCAAUUUUACUUCAAUCCAAAAUUGGCUAGAAAGCUUAUGGGGACCUUCCCCAUAGGCUAACAUAUAUGCUCGGUAGGUUUUAGGUGGCGAAGUAGGUGGUCGAAGUUUUUUUUAAAGAGACAGUAAGUCAACUAUCGAAUGGUUGAAUAGUCGAACGAUUUUUAGUUCGAAUCGCUCGAUUCGAAGUCGUAGUCGAAGGUCGAAGUAGCCGAUUCGAUGGUCGAAGUAGCCAAAAAAAAUACUUUGAAAUUCGAAGUAGUUUUCCUUCUAAUCCUUCACUCGAGCUAAGUAAAUGUGCCCCUUAGUGUCUGUGUCUGCAUGGAAGUGGCUUUUCACUUUUAUGAAUAAUGCAUAUGCUUUUAUGUUUUAUACAUUACAAUCCCAGAAUGAAAAUGACUCAAAGAAAAGUUUCAGACUCAAAAAGGGAUCACUUGCAAGGGAAUAGUUAUAGGAGUUGCAUGUAAACCUGCCCCAAAGGGCCACAUUCAUUCAUAGAAUAUAUAGAUACAGUAGUUGGUAUUAAGAAAUUGAUGGUCACAUAGGGCAUGGCUACCGUAAUUAGGGGUGAUGUGGAGGAUACUUUUCAUUUCUGCUGUAACACUGAAUUCUUCUGAGGGCAUGUGUACUUUUGUUAUACACACAUCCUGUUGCUGCUGUCUGUAAUUCACUGUGCUACACCUAAACAUCAUUAUCUGAGAUUUUUCCUGAAGGAAAAUUUGUCAAUAAAUGUUGUUUAUCAUGCGCUUGUUUGUCUAUUAGCAUCUUAACUGAAUGAGGCACAUUUUGUGUGUUUGACUGCAAAUGUAUUUUUUGCAAAUAGAAAAAAUGUAAGCCCACAAUUGAAGCUCUAUUCCCUCAACUUUCUUUUUUUCUUUCUUUUUUUGUUAAAUAUAGGCAAAUACUAAGCUCCUUGGUGAGCUAUAUGGUGUUUUUAAAAAGUUCUAUGCUGUUCUGUAUGGAUUCUACUGAGAUGAAAUAAAGGUGCAAUUGUGUGACAAUAA